AUUGAACGCUGGCGGCAGGCCUAACACAUGCAAGUCGAACGGUAACAGGAAGAAGCUUGCUUCUUUGCUGACGAGUGGCGGACGGGUGAGUAAUGUCUGGGAAACUGCCUGAUGGAGGGGGAUAACUACUGGAAACGGUAGCUAAUACCGCAUAACGUCGCAAGACCAAAGAGGGGGACCUUCGGGCCUCUUGCCAUCGGAUGUGCCCAGAUGGGAUUAGCUAGUAGGUGGGGUAACGGCUCACCUAGGCGACGAUCCCUAGCUGGUCUGAGAGGAUGACCAGCCACACUGGAACUGAGACACGGUCUAGACUCCUACGGGAGGCAGCAGUGGGGAAUAUUGCACAAUGGGCGCAAGCCUGAUGCAGCCAUGCCGCGUGUAUGAAGAAGGCCUUCGGGUUGUAAAGUACUUUCAGCGGGGAGGAAGGGAGUAAAGUUAAUACCUUUGCUCAUUGACGUUACCCGCAGAAGAAGCACCGGCUAACUCCGUG
rnacentral:rRNA from 1 species